CUCGUCUCACCCACCGCCGCUCCCUAACCCUAGCCCCAAUCCACAGCCCCGCGCCCCUCGCUCCUCCCUCCCUCGUCCUCACCCGCCACCGCUCCCUCCAACCACCUCCUCCUCCUUCCGAUGGGUCGCCGGAUCCGUCGGCCACCCCAUGGACUUCGCCUCGAACGUGGGCUGGGAGAGAGAGCGCGGGCGGGCGGUAGAGGAGGGUGGCGGGCGCCGACGUCGCAGUCAAGGGGGAGCAGGGCUGCCGGAGCUCGCACGGAUGCGCAGUCGGAGGGACGACUUGAGGAGAGUAGGAGGUAGGUACGCUGGGACAGGGUGAUGUAGCCGGCGACGGCAGGGCCAGUCGGCCGGAGCUGGAUUGAUCCGGAGGCGCUCAGCAAGAGAGGCGGACAGCGGACCGAUGGAGAAGGGAUCGGCAUCGGGCAGCUCGAAGACCCAAAACGGCUGCCUCAUCAUCUACCUCACCGUCUCUCCUCCAGUACGCGGGUGCUCUGCUCGACCUCUUCCUCGUCAUGGCUGCUCAACAAAAUAAGCAGGAGCAGCCGGUGCAGCCGAGCGUCCGCCUUAGGCUUCAGGACAUGGCGUUCAACGGUGGAUGCAGGUGGCCUAUGCCAAGCUGGUGCGGGCGGGCUGCUGUCGUUCAUCUAUCCCACGCUGCAGCUGCUGCGGCACGGCGUCCGGCUAUUCGGCGACCAGGACCUGCAGAGCAAGGUUGGCCUGCUCAUCGACUAUGCUGGGGAUCAGGAUCUAAUCUCUCCCAUGGCGGUCGGCGGCGCUCUGGCCGUGGAGGCCUGCUCCUCAUGCUCCUCCUCUGGAUCUAAUUCUUGAUUCUUGCGUCGGUCUGAACUGUGCGAUUUACGUUUCGUCAGAGGUCUGUUCUUGGGAUUCUGGUGCUGUUGAUCUCGUCAAGGGCCUCAUCUGCUUUAUUUCAUCUUGUGAAGGGUUUCUUUUCUACGGUUGGUGUCAGCAGUCAGCUCAUCUCCUGGUUCAUCGUCCAGUAUUUGCACUCCUCUGAUCAACUUGCUAAGGUUCCAACUUCCUCCUUUACUUAUAUUUUUUAUACUUGUUGCAAAUCAAGUAAUUUAACCGGUUCUAACUGUGUGUGUAACGUGUGGUGUGACAUUUUGCUUUUUUUGUGUGUUCUUAUUGGUGCUAUUGCCUGCUGUUAUUUCUGCUUACAUAUAUUCUUUCCUGCUUCGUAUUGUGCAAUUACUUCGUUUACCUAGAAUGUGUGCUCUGGUGUCCUUUGUUCUUCCAAUUUUGGAACUGUGGCAGCACAAUGUGCAUUGCUUCCGCCUUUUUACUUGUGUGAGAUCGACGGGAAUGGUCAUGUGCUUGCUGGUGUAGAGAUUGAUGUUCCUGGGGAUGGCCUUAUAGGUAAUAAACCUAGGUUUAUUUUAGAUUCAAAUCACUUAGCUUUUUUUGAGCCAUGGAACCUACAGUUUUACACUGCCACAUUGAGACAUGGAAAUUCAUGAUGUACUUUGCGAGACCCCUGUCCGUUAGUGCCUCUUUGAUCGGCUCUGCUAUGGCAUUGGAUAAGCCUUUAGUACAGUGAGCUUUGGUAGAAAAUGGUUCUGCCAUUCUUGAACAGCACCUGUACUAAAACUGAAUAAUUAAAUGCAACCAACAUAGACUUUCCUGCUAUCUAUGAUUACUCAACAAGUUCUUGAGUAUUAGCAGUUGAGUUGUCAAUUCAACCACACCUGGAUAACUUAGUAUCUGCAGCAAAGUAUUUAGUAGCAAAGUAAUAUGAUAAUAUUGGUAACGGUAGCAAAAGUAAUAUUUUUGGCUUUCGUAGUGAUUAUAACAAUAGCAACGGAAAAGUAAAUAAGCGAGGAACAAUAUGUGAAAAGCUCGUAGGCAAUGGACCAGUGAUGGAUAAUUACGCCGGAUGCGGUUCCUCAUGUAAUAGCUAUAACAUAGGGUGACACAGAACUAGCUCCAGUUCAUCAAUGUAAUGUAGGCAUGUAUUCCGUAAAUAGUCAUACGUGCUUAUGGAAAAGAACUUGCAUGACAUCUUUCGUCCUACCCUCCCGUGGCAGCGGGGUCCUAGCGGAAACUAAGGGAUAUUAAGGCCUCCUUUUAAUAGAGAACCGGA
rnacentral:rRNA from 1 species